rnacentral:rRNA from 1 species
CUACACAUGCAAGUCGAACGAAGUAGCAAUACUUAGUGGCAGACGGGUGAGUAACAUGUAGGUAUCUGCCCUUUGGCCUGGAAUAACACGAGGAAACUUGUGCUAAUACCGGAUAAGUCUUUACGGAGAAAGCUUUAUGCACCAUUGGAUGAGCCUGCACUUGAUUAGUUUGUUGGUGGGGUAAUGGCCUACCAAGACUGUGAUCAAUAGCUGAUUUGAGAGGAUGAUCAGCCACAUUGGGACUGAGACACGGCCCAAACUCCUACGGGAGGCAGCAGUGGGGAAUCUUGCACAAUGGAGGAAACUCUGAUGCAGCGAUGCCGCGUGAGUGAAGAAGGCCCUUGGGUUGUAAAGCUCUUUCGUCGGGGAAGAAAAUGACUGUACCCGAAUAAGAAGGUCCGGCUAACUUCGUGCCAGCAGCCGCGGUAAUACGAAGGGACCUAGCGUAGUUCGGAAUUACUGGGCUUAAAGAGUUCGUAGGUGGUUGAAAAAGUUAGUGGUGAAAUCCCAGAGCUUAACUCUGGAACUGCCAUUAAAACUUUUCAGCUAGAGUAUGAUAGAGGAAAGCAGAAUUUCUAGUGUAGAGGUGAAAUUCGUAGAUAUUAGAAAGAAUACCAAUUGCGAAGGCAGCUUUCUGGAUCAUUACUGACACUGAGGAACGAAAGCAUGGGUAGCGAAGAGGAUUAGAUACCCUCGUAGUCCAUGCCGUAAACGAUGUGUGUUAGACGUUGGAAAUUUAUUUUCAGUGUCGCAGGGAAACCGAUAAACACACCGCCUGGGGAGUACGACCGCAAGGUUAAAACUCAAAUGAAUUGACGGGGACCCGCACAAGUAGUGGAGCAUGUGGUUUAAUUCGAAGAUACGCGCAGAACCUUACCAACACUUGACAUGUUCGUCGCGACUCUAAGAGAUUAGAGUUUUCGGUUCGGCCGGACGAAACACAGGUGCUGCAUGGCUGUCGUCAGCUCGUGUCGUGAGAUGUUGGGUUAAGUCCCGCAACGAGCGCA